AGCUAUUUUUUUCAAUUGAUAUUCCAUAUUUUCAAAGUGUUCUAAAGCAUUUAUUCCAACUCUGUUUAACUGGAAAAAAUAAAGGCAAAAUAAUUCCCAGUAAAUUUUUAUUAUUGAACUCUGUGCUAGAUUUUUACUGACUGAACUUGAAGUCUCAAGCCGCCAAGAACUUUUGAUCGACUAAACCGUUUCUUAAGGAAUUUUUCUCAUCAAGCUAUUUAAAAAUUAUUUUUGAAAUAGUAGGUGAAAAUAUGAAGUACUUUUGAAGUCAAGAUAUUUUUGUCCAUCAAAGAAGUAGGUGCUUAGUGAAACCCAAUGGAAAGUUUUACGAAAAAUAGAUUUGAAAUAUAAAUUGGGCCGGUUCAGAGUUUGACAUCUAAAUAAUCAGAGACGCAAAACUUGACUAGAUAUUUAGUCCCUAACUAUUCUGAACCGGUAAAUUCUAAUCGAUAUUUUGCUAGAAAUCGUUUGCCUUCAAAAGGAUAUUUUCCAAAGGAUUUCCUCAGCCAUAUUAAUAUAUUUCCUUGAAAAUGAAUUUCCGACAGUUGUGUUUAAUGAACCAUUCCAUGGCAGAUAUUUGGGUAUACAAGGGAACAUAAGACAUUAAUAGAGAAAUAGAGUGAUAGAAAAUAAGAAGAGUUACUGUUAACUGGGGUUAUCAUGAAUAAACAUUUUUUGUUUUGAGAGUUCCUCCUAUCCAAAUUUAGAAAUGACGAUGCAAAUUUCCUUCUAAAUUCAUUGGUUUAAGAUCAAAUUGCGAAGACAGUUAAAUAUUUUCAGGAAAAGGAAUUGAACAUGUUAGAUGCUGUUGGACUCUUCUAAGAUCAAAAUGUUAACAGAUCAUUACGACAACUUAUGAGUUCAAAAUCUACAAGACCUUUGUAAAUGUAUUAAUGCUAUCUUCUCCUUAAACGACAAGACGGCAACACUUGUAUAUAACAUCUCUUGAAGUCUCCAUUUCUCUUCUUAUUUUUCGGAAGAAACUUCAAACAACUCAACACUGAUUAAGUUUCAAGACUACUCUCAGCUAUCAUCAAUCAACUGAAUUCUCUGUCUGGGUCUGUGCGAUAAAGCCAAAAAAAAAAAUUGUUCACCUUAACACUUUCAAAAUAAGAAGACAAAUAAAAAAAAAAUAAACCAGACAAAAACAGAAGAAAAAAA